rnacentral:rRNA from 1 species
GACGAACGCUGGCGGCGUGCUUAACACAUGCAAGUCGAACGGAAAGGCCCUGCUUCUGUCGGGUGCUCGAGUGGCGAACGGACGAGUAACACGUGAGUAACCUGCCCUCGACUUUGGGAUAACUUCAGGAAACUGGGGCUAAUAACGGAUAGGUGCUCCUGCUUCAUGGUGGGGGUUGGAAAGUUACGGCGGCUGGGGAUGGACGCGCGGCUUAUCAGCUUGUUGGUGGGGUAGUGGCUUACCAAGGCUUUGACGGGUAGCCGGCCUGAGAGGGUGACCGGCCACAUUGGGACUGAGAUACGGCCCAGACUCCUACGGGAGGCAGCAGUGGGGAAUAGUGCACGAUGGGCGGAAGCCUGAUGCAGCAACUCCGCGUGCGGGAUGACUGCCUUCGGGUUGUAAACCGCUUUCGCCUGUGACGAAGCGGGAGUGACGGUAAUGGGUAAUGAAGCACCGGCUAACUACGUG